rnacentral:sRNA from 1 species
UGUAGUAGAUUGAAAUGGGGCUGCAAAAUAUGCUCUUGCAAUUCCUAGUUAGAUCUAGCUUUUGAUAAUACGAUUAUCUAAUUUGUCAUUUCGAUAUGAUAGAUAGAUUGUUUUUAAAAGAGAUCUCAACCACUUUUCUUUAACUAAAAUAAAAA